GUGGGGAAUAUUGGACAAUGGGCGAAAGCCUGAUCCAGCCAUGCCGCGUGAGUGAUGAAGGCCUUAGGGUUGUAAAGCUCUUUCAGUAGGGAAGAUAAUGACGGUACCUACAGAAGAAGCCCCGGCUAACUUCGUGCCAGCAGCCGCGGUAAUACGAAGGGGGCUAGCGUUGUUCGGAUUUACUGGGCGUAAAGCGCACGUAGGCGGAUUGGUCAGUUAGAGGUGAAAUCCUGGAGCUCAACUCCAGAACUGCCUUUAAUACUGCCAGUCUAGAGUCCAGAAGAGGUGAGUGGAACUCCUAGUGUAGAGGUGGAAUUCGUAGAUAUUAGGAAGAACACCAGUGGCGAAGGCGGCUCACUGGUCUGGUACUGACGCUGAGGUACGAAAGCGUGGGGAGCAAACAGGAUUAGAUACCCCUGUAGUCC
rnacentral:rRNA from 1 species